rnacentral:rRNA from 1 species
UCGAGGAUCUUCGGCAAUGGGCGCAAGCCUGACCGAGCGACGCCGCGUGCGCGAUGAAGGCCUUCGGGUUGUAAAGCGCUGUCGAGGGGGAGGAAAGCCGCAAGGCCUGACCUAUCCCUGGAGGAAGCACGGGCUAAGUUCGUGCCAGCAGCCGCGGUAAGACGAACCGUGCGAACGUUGUUCGGAAUCACUGGGCUUAAAGGGCGCGUAGGCGGACCACCCAGUCCGGGGUGAAAUCUUUCGGCUCAACCGGAAAAGGGCCUUGGAUACUGGUGGUCUGGAGGAAGGUAGGGGCAUGCGGAACUUCCGGUGGAGCGGUGAAAUGCGUUGAUAUCGGAAGGAACGCCGGUGGCGAAAGCGGCGUGCUGGACCUUUUCUGACGCUGAUGCGCGAAAGCCAGGGGAGCGAACGGGAUUAGAUACCCCCGUAGUCC